rnacentral:rRNA from 1 species
UACAGAGGUCCCAAGCGUUGUUCGGAUUCACUGGGCGUAAAGGGUGCGCAGGUGGUCGGGUAAGUCUGAUGUGAAAUCCCGCAGCUCAACUGCGGAAUGGCAUUGGAUACUAUUUGGCUAGAGGGUUGGAGGGGGGGACUGGAAUUCUCGGUGUAGCAGUGAAAUGCGUAGAUAUCGAGAGGAACACCAGUGGCGAAAGCGAGUCCCUGGACAACUCCUGACGCUGAGGCACGAAAGCUAGGGGAGCAAACAGG